CCCCCCCCCCCAACUAAGCAAGUGGGCCCAAAAGCAGCCACCUUUGAGAAAGCGUUAAAGCUCUAUUUCUACCAAACCUUAAUACCUAAUUACACAUAAAACCCUUUAACCCUACUGAAUGAUUCUAUAAAAUAUAGAAACCCCAAUGCUAAAACUAGUAACAAGAAGUUGAGCUUCUCCAAAAUACAAGCAUAAAUCAAAAUGGACAAACCAUUGAUAGUUAACACCACUGACUUAAAUAUAGCAACUAAACAAGAAAAUACUAUAAAGCUUAAUGUUAACCUAACACAAGAGUAUUCCUGGAAAGAUUAAAAAAAAGAGAAGGAACUCGGCAAACUUUAACCCCGCCUGUUUACCAAAAACACCGCCUCUUGAAUUUCAUAAGAGGUCCAGCCUGCCCAGUGACACAAUUAAACGGCCGCGGUACCCUGACCGUGCGAAGGUAGCAUAAUCACUUGUUCUCUAAAUAAGGACUUGUAUCAACGGCAUCACGAGGGUUAUACUGUCUCCUCUUUUUAAUCAGUGAAACUGACUUUCCCGUGAAGAGGCGGGAAUGAAGAUACAAGACGAGAAGACCCCAUGGAGCUUUAAACCCAAUAGUAACCUCUAUUUACUACUACUACUUAAUCAAGAAGGUCUAUCUACUGGUUUUAGGUUGGGGUGACCCUGGAGUAAAACUUAGCCUCCAUGAUGAAUAGAAUUUAUUCUAAUCCCAGAGCCACUGCUCUACGAAUCAAAAUUUUGACAUAAACUGAUCCGCCUAGCGAUCAACGAACCAAGUUACCCUGGGGAUAACAGCGCAAUCCAUUUCAAGAGCCCCUAUCGACAAAUGGGU
rnacentral:rRNA from 1 species